CCUACGGGGGGCAGCAGUAGGGAAUCUUUCACAAUGGGCGAAAGCCUGAUGGAGCAACGCCGCGUGCAGGAUGAAGGCCUUCGGGUUGUAAACUGCUUUUAUAAGCGAGAAAUAUGAUGGUAACUUAUGAAUAAGGAUCGGCUAACUACGUGCCAGCAGCCGCGGUCAUACGUAGGAUCCGAGCAUUAUCCGGAGUGACUGGGUGUAAAGAGUUGCGUAGGUGGCAUAAUAAGUAGCUAGUGAAAUCGGGUGGCUCAACCAUUCAGACUAUUAGCUAAACUGUUAAGCUCGAGACCGUUAGGGGUAACUGGAAUUGCUAGUGUAGGAGUGAAAUCCGUAGAUAUUAGAAAGAACACCAAUAGCGUAGGCAGGUUACUGGGACGGUUCUGACACUAAGGCACGAAAGCGUAGGGAGCAAACGGGAUUAGAUACCCGGGUAGUC
rnacentral:rRNA from 1 species